AAACAUGUUUGUCAUGGUUUCCUUAUGCUUGUUUCCUUUUACAAUAAUUGUAAAUUUACUUGCUGAAGUCAAUUAUCAAUUCAAAGGUUCGUUUCUAGUGAACUAGAGGCAUUUAAACAUUUGAUAUGCAGACACUUAUCUUUCUAAAUUAAAUAUGAUCUCUAUGUGCCCUCUUCAGGGUAAGGUUUAAAACUAGUUGCAGCUAAGAUUGCUGAUAAGUCAACUUCUAUUCUUCUGUAGUACUUAGAUACAUUUAGAUAUAAUAUUAUACUGUAAUAUACCUUAAAAGCCUUCAGAGCACUUUUGUACACCCUCUCUUCCAAGUUCUUUAAUGCCUUCUCCAUUGGAAGAAUUUGAUCUGUCAAUAUGAUCACUUCACUUUGUUAUGAACUGUUUCAUCAUCAGACUAUUGGUGAAACAUUGCCUUAGUGGUAUCAUUAUUUAAGGGUUUGGUUAAAUUAUGCUCUAGGAUGAAGAGUUGGUGCAUAUCAUGUCUUGCUAGGUAAGGGGCAAUCACUGUCACACAUGGAUGUAUAAAUAAUUUAUUUGACAUCUUUGGUGUGGUUCAAUCUUCUAGAGGAAUUUAAGGAAUGAUAUGAUGAGUCCUGGGCUGUACUUUGCUGUAUUGUUCUGUACUGGUUGUAUUGCAGCUUCCUCCUUCUGUGGUUCUCAGCAGUGACGACUCAGAGGUUCCCCCCUUUCAACCAAGGACUCUCGGUGCAUUUAAUUUAGUCGUGUUUCCUUGAGCAUAAUUGAUAUUAUCCUAAUUUUCCUUUCCAUUUGUAGUUUGUAUUGCUGUCAGGCUGUAAUAAAUCUGAAAUAUAUUAGUUCAUUUGGUUCCUUGGAUUCUUAAGUAGGUCCAAUAUUCACUUAAGCAUGCAUGCUAUCUUCACUCUUUCAGCUUCUCCCUCCAAUUAAUGUACUCCUUCUUUUAACCUCAUAUUAUUCCUUAUUCAAUUGUUUAAUUUCACCAUAUAUGGUAAAAGGUUGGUUUUCAGAUAUGCUUCUUAUACACUGGGGAUCGUUCGGUUCGUGUAAGGUUGCUGUUUAUUGUUUAAAGUACAUUAAUGUUGCCAUGGUAACAAUUUUGAAGAAUGUCACCAAUGUCAUUACUGCUCUUGGUGAAACAUACCUUUUCCAAAAGCAUCACGGCAACAAAGUCUGGGCUGCUCUGUUCCUUAUGAUAAUCUCAGCAAUUUCUGGAGGAAUCACAGAUCUCUCAUUUCAUGCAGUUGGCUAUGCAUGGCAGAUUGUUAAUUGUUUCCUGACAGCAUCAUAUUCACUAACACUACGGCGGGUUAUGGAUACAGCUAAGCAAUUAACAAAAUCUGGAAAUUUGAAUGAGUUUUCAAUGGUUUUGCUCAAUAACACACUUUCAUUGCCUUUGGGGAUUCUGCUAGUUUUUGCAUUUAAUGAAGUGGAUUACCUUUCUAAAACGCCGCUUUUGAGGAUGCCUUUAUUCUGGUUGACAAUGACUUCAAGUGGGUUUUUGGGGCUUGCAAUCAGCUUCACUUCAAUGUGGUUUCUUCACCAGACAGGUGCAACUACAUACAGCCUUGUAGGAUCACUGAAUAAGAUACCUCUGUCCAUUGCUGGAAUCCUUCUCUUUAAAGUUCCAACUAGCCUGGAGAAUUUCAUAAGCAUCCUUUUUGGUCUGUUAGCAGGCAUAUUCUUUGCCAAGGCAAAGAUGAGGGAGAGAUCUCAGUCCUGAGGUAGAGAGGGGCCGUUCAUUGGAAAUCAUUGUUUGGAGCUGGGAAAGUGCUGUAUUUGCAGAAUUACAGUAAGAACCAGAAAAUUAAUCAGAGUCCAAUGCUGAAGAACUUGGGGGUGCAAUGACCUAACUGUGCCAUGGGCAUCAACAGUGUACCAUCUUAUUUUAUCGGAAGUCUCGGAGGAGACAAAUGGUGCGGCGGACCAUCACCCAUGUAUUUUUCUCAAAAAGGGAAAAAAAGGGGCACCUGUAAUAAAACUUCUUGUAGAAUGCUGCUUACCGUUGGUUGGACAUGAUUCAGUAAUCUAGUUGAGGAUAAAACGCUUUGGAAUUGUUAAUUCAUAACUUGAGACGUACGUGGCUGAAUGUAUCUUGCAAGAAAUUUGGAUGAAGCUUUUGAUGUAAAGCUACAAAUUUAACAAAAAAUGAGUAUGACUUCUCAGUGUGCUUAAAUAUUUA